rnacentral:rRNA from 1 species
GACGAACGCUGGCGGCGUGCUUAACACAUGCAAGUCGAACGGAAAGGCCCUGCUUUUGUGGGGUUCUCGAGUGGCGAACGGGUGAGUAACACGUGAGUAACCUGCCCUUGACUUUGGGAUAACUUCAGGAAACUGGGGCUAAUACCGGAUAUGAGCUCCUGCUGCAUGGUGUGGGUUGGAAAUUUUCGGCGGUUGGGUACGGACUCGCGGCUUAUCAGCUUGUUUGUGGGGUAGUGUCUUACCAAGGCUUUGACGGGUAGCCGGCCUGAGAGGGUGACCGGCCACAUUGGGACUGAGAUACGGAACAGACUCCUACGGGAGGCAGCAGUGGGGAAUAUUGCACAAUGGGCGGAAGCCUGAUGCAGCAACGCAGCGUGCGGGAUGACGGCCUUCGGGUUGUAAACCGAUUUCGCCUGUGACGAAGCGUGAGUGACGGUAAUGGGUAAAGAAGCACCGGCUAACUACGUG